GACGAACGCUGGCGGCGUGCUUAACACAUGCAAGUCGAACGGUAAGGCCCUUCGGGGUACACGAGUGGCGAACGGGUGAGUAACACGUGGGUGAUCUGCCCUGCACUUCGGGAUAAGCCUGGGAAACUGGGUCUAAUACCGGAUAGGACCACUGCCUGCAUGGGUGGUGGUGGAAAGCUUUUGCGGUGUGGGAUGGGCCCGCGGCCUAUCAGCUUGUUGGUGGGGUGAUGGCCUACCAAGGCGACGACGGGUAGCCGGCCUGAGAGGGUGACCGGCCACACUGGGACUGAGAUACGGCCCAGACUCCUACGGGAGGCAGCAGUGGGGAAUAUUGCACAAUGGGCGCAAGCCUGAUGCAGCGACGCCGCGGGAGGGAUGACGGCCUUCGGGUUGUAAACCUCUUUCAGCACCGACGAAGCGCAAGUGACGGUAGGUGCAGAAGAAGGUCCGGCCAACUACGUGCCAGCAGCCGCCGUAA
rnacentral:rRNA from 1 species